rnacentral:lncRNA from 1 species
CGUCGCCGGUCACCGUGAGCGGUUGUUCCAGCACCUUCAACCCGUGGUUGUAGCCUUCCUCAUGGCCGGUCCCAGCAUCUGACCGUCAUCGAAUGUAGCACGCCGUGGCCGCGAACUCCCCUUGAUGUGCUCGAUGGUGGACUACCGCAGACUGAGCUCGCUCUCCUUGGAAUCCAUGGCAGACUGCUGCAUGAGAGGAGAGAUGGAGACACAAAAGCUUGAUAUGUGGGGAUUAAUGGCGGAUUCCCCGUGGGGAAGAGAGAUGAGGCAGAAAGGGAAGCGGCGAUGCCUUUGAGCGAUGUGGAUAAGGUCUGGGUGGACGAGAUGCUUCAGGCAAUGCGAUUAGGUAUGGGUGCCUGGUCCUACUAGCUUUUUGUAUCGCGAGUGACGCGGACCGGCGGAAGCUUACGCCGGUCGUCCGUUUAUAAACGUUUCCC